rnacentral:rRNA from 1 species
GACGAAGGAUGCAAGCGUUAUCCGGAUUCAUUGGGUUUAAAGGGUGCGUAGGCUGCGCAGCAAGUUGGGUGUGAAAUCCCUCGGCUUAACCGAGGAACUGCGCCCAAAACUGCUGUGCUCGAGGGAGAUAGAGGUGAGCGGAACUUAGGGUGGAGCGGUGAAAUGCGUUGAUAUCCUAAGGAACACCGGUGGCGAAAGCGGCUCACUGGAUCUCUUCUGACGCUGAGGCACGAAAGCUAGGGUAGCGAACGGG